rnacentral:lncRNA from 1 species
GGGGGCGGAGAUGCUACCCCAAAAGCUGGAACUUCUUCACUCUUUAUUUCAUUUAUUCGAACCAAAUAGUUAACAAAGUCUCUGGCAGCAUUGCUUUGUGCAUCUUUUUUAUUGGUGGAAUUUCCCAUGCCAGUGUAAUUAUAACCUUCCACCUGAACCUCACACAUGAAUUUCUGCCUGUUUUUGUUCCCCACUGCUCUAAUUUCAUAGGAUGGGGUCAUCUUCCUUUUG